rnacentral:rRNA from 1 species
UACGGAGGAUGCAAGCGUUAUCCGGAUUCAUUGGAUUUAAAGGGUGCGUAGGCGGACUAUUAAGUCAGCGGUGAAAGCCUGCAGCUUAACUGCAGAACUGCCAUUGAUACUGAUAGUCUUGAGUUUGGUUAAGGUAGGCGGAAUGUGUAAUGUAGCGGUGAAAUGCUUAGAUAUUACACAGAACACCAAUUGCGUAGGCAGCUUACUGAGCCGACACUGACGCUGAGGCACGAAAGCGUGGGGAUCGAA